UGCAAGUCGAGCGAAUCUGAGGGAGCUUGCUCCCAAAGAUUAGCGGCGGACGGGUGAGUAACACGUGGGCAACCUGCCUGUAAGACUGGGAUAACUUCGGGAAACCGGAGCUAAUACCGGAUAAUCCCUUUCCUCACAUGAGGAAAGGCUGAAAGACGGUUUCGGCUGUCACUUACAGAUGGGCCCGCGGCGCAUUAGCUAGUUGGUGAGGUAACGGCUCACCAAGGCCACGAUGCGUAGCCGACCUGAGAGGGUGAUCGGCCACACUGGGACUGAGACACGGCCCAGACUCCUACGGGAGGCAGCAGUAGGGAAUCUUCCGCAAUGGACGAAAGUCUGACGGAGCAACGCCGCGUGAGUGAUGAAGGUUUUCGGAUCGUAAAACUCUGUUGUUAGGGAAGAACAAGUAUCGGAGUAACUGCCGGUACCUUGACGGUACCUAACCAGAAAGCCACGGCUAACUACGUGCCAGCAGCCGCGGUAAUACGUAGGUGGCAAGCGUUGUCCGGAAUUAUUGGGCGUAAAGCGCGCGCAGGUGGUUCCUUAAGUCUGAUGUGAAAGCCCACGGCUCAACCGUGGAGGGUCAUUGGAAACUGGGGAACUUGAGUGCAGAAGAGGAAAGUGGAAUUCCAAGUGUAGCGGUGAAAUGCGUAGAGAUUUGGAGGAACACCAGUGGCGAAGGCGACUUUCUGGUCUGUAACUGACACUGAGGCGCGAAAGCGUGGGGAGCGAACAGGAUUAGAUACCCUGGUAGUCCACGCCGUAAACGAUGAGUGCUAAGUGUUAGAGGGUUUCCGCCCUUUAGUGCUGCAGCAAACGCAUUAAGCACUCCGCCUGGGGAGUACGACCGCAAGGUUGAAACUCAAAGGAAUUGACGGGGGCCCGCACAAGCGGUGGAGCAUGUGGUUUAAUUCGAAGCAACGCGAAGAACCUUACCAGGUCUUGACAUCCUCUGACACUCCUAGAGAUAGGACGUUCCCCUUCGGGGGACAGAGUGACAGGUGGUGCAUGGUUGUCGUCAGCUCGUGUCGUGAGA
rnacentral:rRNA from 1 species